UGAGGAACAUGACCUUCGGCGGGGGAGUAGCCGGCCCAACGGCCGGGUAAUACCGCGUACGACCACAUGGGGACAUCCCUGAGUGGUGAAAGCAGCAAUGCGCCGAUGGAGUGCCUCGCGGCCUAUCAGCUAGUUGGUGAGGUAACGGCUCACCAAGGCAACGGACGGGUAGCUGGUCUGAGAGGAUGGCCAGCCACAGUUGGGACUGAGACACGGUCCAGACCUGUACCGGGAG
rnacentral:rRNA from 1 species